CCUACGGGAGGCAGCAGUGAGGAAUAUUGGUCAAUGGACGAGAGUCUGAACCAGCCAAGUAGCGUGAAUGAUGACUGCCCUAUGGGUUGUAAACUUCUUUUAUAUGGGAAUAAAAUGUUCCACGUGUGGGAUUUUGUAUGUACCAUAUGAAUAAGGAUCGGCUAACUCCGUGCCAGCAGCCGCGGUAAUACGGAGGAUCCGAGCGUUAUCCGGAUUUAUUGGGUUUAAAGGGAGCGUAGGUGGAUUGUUAAGUCAGUUGUGAAAGUUUGCGGCUCAACCGUAAAAUUGCAGUUGAAACUGGCAGUCUUGAGUACAGUAGAGGUGGGCGGAAUUCGUGGUGUAGCGGUGAAAUGCUUAGAUAUCACGAAGAACUCCGAUUGCGAAGGCAGUUCACUGGACUGCAACUGACACUGAGGCUCGAAAGUGUGGGUAUCAAACAGGAUUAGAUACCCGAGUAGUC
rnacentral:rRNA from 1 species